rnacentral:SRP_RNA from 1 species
GGCAGGCAUGGUGGUGUAUGCCUGUAGUCCCAGCUGCUCAGGAGGCUGAGGUGGGAGGAUUGCUUGAGCCCAGGUGAUUGAGACUGCAGUGAGCCAUGAUGGUGUCACUGCACUGCAGCCUGGGCAACACAGCAAGAUCCCGUUUCAA